rnacentral:rRNA from 1 species
GAUGAACGCUGGCGGCGUGCCUAAUACAUGCAAGUCGAACGAAACUUCUUUAUCACCGAGUGCUUGCACCCACCGAUAAAGAGUUGAGGGGCGAACGGGUGAGUAACACGUGGGCAACCUGCCCAAAAGAGGGGGAUAACACUGGGAAACAGGUGCUAAUACCGCAUAACCAUAGUUACCGCAUGGUAACUAUGUAAAAGGUGGCUAUACUACCGCUUUUGGAGGGGCCCGCGGCGCAUUAGCUAGUUGGUAGGAUAAAGGCUUACCAAGGCAAUGAUGCGUAGCCGGAUUGAGAGGUUGAUCGGCCACAUUGGGACUGAGACACGGCCCCAACUCCUACGGGAGGCCACCGUAGGGAAUCUUCCACCAUGGGCGGAAGCCUGAUGGCACCAAGCCGCGUGGGUUGAGAAGGUCUUCCGAUCGUAAAACCCUGUUGUUAGAGAAGAAAGUGCAUGAGAGUAACUGUUCACUUUUUUACGGUAUCUAACCAGAUAGCCACGGCUAACUACGUG